GUAUUGAAUAGAUGAAUGAGUCUCUGCCAGAUUUUGUGCCUGAAUAAAUAAAGAAGUUUCCAUGAGUCUUUGUAUGGAAUAUGUACGUAUCUCUGGGAAGACCUCUGAAUGUAUAUAAGCUGAAGACGUUUUUGUGCAAGAUGGGACAGAGCUCUUGGGCAUCAAUGGUUCAUAGGAUCACAGAAGCUCAGCUGGCACUGAGGUAUUCUUGGGAGGACCCUUAUCCCUGGACUGAAGAGCCCAGGAGCAAAGACAUCUGACUAGAGACUGGGUGUAUGCCAAAUCCUGGACAUCCAAACCACUGCAAGAGAAGUGGAAAGGACCCUUCCAAGUUCUGCUGACCACCUACACUUCAGUGAAACUGGAAGGAAAAGAAGCCUGGAUUCAUUAUUCUCAGAUUACGAAGGCACCUUCUAUGUGGAGAACUGAACAGGCUACCUUGCUGAUGAAAGUUAAGAUAAAUAAGCAAGCAUAAUAUAUAAAGUAACUUUGCUGGUAGGAAUUUGCUUUGUAGGCUAUAAAGGAUGGAAAAGUAAUGUACGUUUACAAAUAGUAGGGAGCUAAUGUAACUAAUUCCUCUGCUGUAACUGUACUCAGUUACCAAGAAGCAUGCAGAUAUAGUAUCCACUAGCAGGAAUAUUGUUAAACCAGUCAGGAAAAAAAAGUAGAAUUGGC
rnacentral:lncRNA from 7 species